CCUACGGGGGGCAGCAGUGGGGAAUAUUGGACAAUGGGGGCAACCCUGAUCCAGCCAUGCCGCGUGUGUGAAGAAGGCCCUCGGGUUGUAAAGCACUUUCAGUGAGGAAGAACGCCUGGUGGUUAAUACCCAUCAGGAAAGACAUCACUCACAGAAGAAGCACCGGCUAACUCCGUGCCAGCAGCCGCGGUAAUACGGAGGGUGCGAGCGUUAAUCGGAAUUACUGGGCGUAAAGCGCGCGUAGGUGGCUUGAUAAGCCGGUUGUGAAAGCCCCGGGCUCAACCUGGGAACGGCAUCCGGAACUGUCAAGCUAGAGUGCAGGAGAGGAAGGUGGAAUUCCCGGUGUAGCGGUGAAAUGCGUAGAGAUCGGGAGGAAUACCAGUGGCGAAGGCGGCCUUCUGGACUGACACUGACGCUGAGGUGCGAAAGCGUGGGUAGCGAACAGGAUUAGAUACCCCGGUAGUC
rnacentral:rRNA from 1 species